rnacentral:rRNA from 1 species
GGAGGAAGGUGGGGAUGACGUCAAGUCCUCAUGGCCCUUAUGGGUAGGGCUUCACACGUCAUACAAUGGUCGGUACAGAGGGUUGCCAAGCCGCGAGGCGGAGCCAAUCCCACAAAGCCGAUCGUAGUCCGGAUUGUUCUCUGCAACUCGAGAGCAUGAAGUCGGAAUCGCUAGUAAUCGCGGAUCAGCAUGCCGCGGUGAAUACGUUCCCGGGUCUU